rnacentral:rRNA from 1 species
CCUACGGGAGGCAGCAGUGGGGAAUUUUGGACAAUGGGCGCAAGCCUGAUCCAGCCAUGCCGCGUGAGUGAAGAAGGCCUUCGGGUUGUAAAGCUCUUUCGGUGAAGACGAAACGGUUCGUGCCAAUAACACGGACUAAUGACGGUACUCACAGAAGAAGCACCGGCUAACUACGUGCCAGCAGCCGCGGUAAUACGUAGGGUGCAGGCGUUAAUCGGAAUUACUGGGCGUAAAGCGUGCGCAGGCGGUUUGCUAAGACAGGUGUGAAAUCCCCGAGCUUAACUUGGGAAUUGCGCUUGUAACUGGCAGGCUAGAGUGUGGCAGAGGGGGGUGGAAUUCCACGUGUAGCAGUGAAAUGCGUAGAUAUGUGGAGGAACACCGAUGGCGAAGGCAGCCCCCUGGGUCAACACUGACGCUCAUGCACGAAAGCGUGGGGAGCAAACAGGAUUAGAUACCCUGGUAGUCCACGCCCUAAACUAUGUCAACUAGUUGUCGGGGAAGAAAUUCCUUGGUAACGAAGCUAACGCGUGAAGUUGACCGCCUGGGGAGUACGGCCGCAAGGUUAAAACUCAAAGGAAUUGACGG